CCUACGGGGGGCUGCAGUGGGGAAUAUUGCACAAUGGGCGCAAGCCUGAUGCAGCCAUGCCGCGUGUGUGAAGAAGGCCUUCGGGUUGUAAAGCACUUUCAGCGGGGAGGAAGGCGGUGAGGUUAAUAACCUCAUCGAUUGACGUUACCCGCAGAAGAAGCACCGGCUAACUCCGUGCCAGCAGCCGCGGUAAUACGGAGGGUGCAAGCGUUAAUCGGAAUUACUGGGCGUAAAGCGCACGCAGGCGGUCUGUCAAGUCGGAUGUGAAAUCCCCGGGCUCAACCUGGGAACUGCAUUCGAAACUGGCAGGCUAGAGUCUUGUAGAAGGGGGUAGAAUUCCAGGUGUAGCGGUGAAAUGCGUAGAGAUCUGGAGGAAUACCGGUGGCGAAGGCGGCCCCCUGGACAAAGACUGACGCUCAGGUGCGAAAGCGUGGGGAGCAAACAGGAUUAGAUACCCCUGUAGUC
rnacentral:rRNA from 1 species